AGCCAUUCUAAGUAGCCCAUGGCUGCCCGAUGGUGAUCCGAUGCUGCGUCUUCGGACACAAUUCUCAGAUCUGAGAUGCUUGCAGAGGGUGUCUUUUGAAUUCAGACACCUCCUGCAGCAUUAAUAUAUUUUCGCACAGCAAAUGUAUUCAAAGACGCAGCUGCUGCACCUUUAGCAUCCACCUCAUACUCGAGCUCUAUGAACACAAGAAGCAUCAGAUGGAAGACAGAGCAUCUUCAGAGGUCAGGAGAGGUGGUAAACAGUUCAUAUCCAGAGACAUAGCCAAGGUUGGAGCAGGAAGCGCAUGACGCAGAUGCUCCCGUUAAUCCCACCUAAGGAAACAUUCACCUAACAGAACAAAGCACUGACCAAGUUUAUUUGGACAGGUAGAUAAUCCAAUUCAAACAAGCAAGAAUACAAAUCCAAUACCAGGUUUUCCUUCCCCCUCGCAUCAAAGAUGAGAGCUGCAACAAUUCACCUGGGAAGAGCAGGAAUGUCAUGGAGGUGAAGGUUUCCUUGGUGUGAUUGGCAGGGAUAACAUUGCAAGGAACACAAACAAUCAUGUUUAAUGUCAGCAAGCAUGGAAAGUCAAAACAGAGCAUCCUUGGCCUUGCAUUUGACCUUGUGACUUAUCUUUCUCCACGGUGCAUGCUGGAAGGUGAAGUCUUUUGCACAAGUCAUCUAUGUCUGAGCGUGCCUGGUACUCAUCAGCGUUCAUGGAUACAUCCAGCUGAGUUAGAGACCGAUUUGUGUGGAUAACAGAGAGAAUAUCAUCGCAGGAGGUAUUGGUCAGGUGACAGUAACCGAAUCUCACCACCUGCAGGUUACAGCUGGUGUCCCUGAAAGCCUCAUGAAGGGGAGUGGAGUUCCGGGCAUUUAUUGGAGACAGAUUUAUGCGGAAAGACAUUUCUUAAGGGAGUAGAAGGACUGCCUUCUUUUAUAAGAGUCGCAAUGUGACUAUAUUUCUAGAACGUGAACUAGGACAUACUACUAUGGUUCUUAAAAUAAACUAGGACGCUACUGUGAGGCAUAACACUAACUAAGGCACUACUAUGCUUCAGAAAAUGAACUAAGACACUAUUAUGGGGCAUAAAAUUUACAACUGCUGCAGAGAGGUGUCUUUCUAGAAGCGUUGGGGCCCACAUAGUUCUGGCUAUGCCCCUGGCCACCUGCCGAAGUCUAUAUUGUGAUGAAACACAUGGAUGCUCAGUCAGUUCCAGCUGACAGUAAGACUUGAAAGCACUUAUCCUUAGUUUAUCAACAAACUGCUGGGUUUUUCAUCAAAUGGGUGCCAGUGAGGCAUAACCACCAAGCAGGUGACUGCCUGUAUAGUUACAUUUAGCACUGGGAACACUCUAUUAUAUGUAUGUUUUUAUUUUGCACUUUUCUGUUUUUAAUGGAUAAUACUCAGAGGCAGAUCUCUGGGAGGCAAAGGAGUCAUCUGCCGCCGGGCUCCUGCUCUGAAGGGGGCACCUCUCCUCCCAUUUUGUGACACCAUUGAAAUAAGUUAAUUUAUAGCUGUCGCUGUCUUUUCAGUGGCCAACUUCUUCACUGCUCCCUGCACCUUACAAAUCACACCCUCUUAUUAUACACAUUUUACAAGUGUCACACCCAGGAUUAGAAACCACAACCUAUUACACUG